CCUCCCACUGGCUGAGUCCAGACUGAGUCCAGUGGACAGAGGAGCCCAAGGAGUGCCUGUGAAGAGACCAUAGGAUGCAUAGCCAAUAAGAAAUGGAGAAAUUGGGCCUCAGAGUGUGUAGGGAGAACCCAAAGACUGGUACCGUAUGAAUUAGGGUAUAGACAGUGUUCCUCACAGGCAGAACAGGAGAUGGAGGUGACGGUUGGGGGCCCCAGUCCUCAGGUUUGCCUCCAAAACUGGCCUUCGCGUGGUCCUAGCAUGUCGAGCCAAUCUGUUCCAGCACAGAGGAGCCUGGUUGUGGGCAGACCCCAGUGCCUCUCAAGAUCUACCGCCCACAUACCCAGGGUAGCGGUGGUGGCAAGGUGAGAUAUGUCGCAUCCGGAGGGCUGUGGGGUGGCCUGGGUAUUACCCAUGGUGCACAGCGGCUUUCAGCAGCAUCUGGACUUCAGCUUGGAUCCAAAUCCUGCCAUUUCCAGGUUGGGUGACUUGCAAGCUUCAAAUGUGUAAAACGACACAGUGGCAC
rnacentral:lncRNA from 1 species